UUUAGGACGGCAAAGGUUUGAAACAUGAAGCUUUGUACUUCUUCACCAAUAGGUUGCAGAGAGCUAGCAAGGCAAAGAUGAUUACCCGGGAGGUAUUACUGUGCCUAGUGGCUUUACUGGUUGUUUGGGUGAGUCAUUGUGUUUAUAGGUGGAAGAAUCCAAAGUGUCAUGGCAAAUUACCUCCUGGUUCAAUGGGUUUUCCCUUUAUUGGGGAAACCAUCCAAUUCUUCAUCCCUAAUAAUUCACUCUAUGAUAUUCCUCCUUUUAUCAGAAGUAGAAUGGCUAGGUAUGGAUCGUUGUUUCGGACAAGUUUGGUUGGGAGGAAAGUGGUAGUCUCAGUGGAUCCCGAAAUCAAUUACCAGAUCUUCCAACAAGAAGGAAAGUCAAUUAUAAAUCCUUUCAAUUUUGCUAUAACGACAUUUAAACUCCAUAUUUUUAGGAAAUUAUUAUUAACUUUCUUUUAAUUUUCUAUAUUUAUCAAAAAAAUUAUUUGUCAGUUCUUUUAUUUAUUGUAGGCCAAAAAAAAAAUGAUGAUUGAAUAAUAUUUUUAAAAUAUAAUUAUAACAUUUAAUUGUUAAAAAUUAACUAGUAAAAAACAAUAAAUAAGUUUAAGCAAUGAUUUGUAAAAAACGUGAGGUUUACUUGUAAUUAGAACAGUCGAAAUUUUCCCUUUUUUAUAAAUUCAUUUAAUAGUAAUACUUAUAUAAUUAUAUACAGUUUAGAUAUGAAAAUUAAAGACUGCUAUGAGAACUUAUGAAGAUGAAUUUCAAUCAAACUUAUGGAAAUGUAGAUAUAUAGAAGAAAAAAAAUUAUACGUUUAAUCAACCACUAAUAAAAAUUAUUAGUGGAUCACAAAGAAAUUUUAUGGGUUGUUUUUUUUUUCAUUUAAAUUAUAUAUUAAGAAAUUAAAACAUAUUUAAAUGAUAUGUUAUUAUUUCGGCGACGUGGAUGCAGUCACAGUCUGUUAUCUUUCUUCAUUAGUAAUUGUUCAUGGAGUUGUUACCUUCUUCAUUAGUACUUGUUCAUGGAGUUGUCACCUUAUCGAAAACCGUUUAUGUGUGCAAAUUAUAAAAUCUACAAGGGCAAAAAUGUCAAAAAUUGUAGAAAACCAAUCAGGAAUUUGACACAAAAUGAGGGAAUUUGUAUGUUUUCAUGGUAGGCAGCAGAUUCAAACAAUUAAUUAAUUAUAUUUAUUACUUGUUUUAGUUUUUUUUCUUGUUUAUAUAUUGUAUGUUUCACCAUGAAAAGAAAAAAUAUAUAUAUUAGAAGAAUAAAACAAAAAGAAAAAAAAAAAAAGUGAAAAGAC